CAAUAGCGUAUAUUUAAGUUGUUGCAGUUAAAAAGCUCGUAGUUGGAUUUCGGAUGGGAUUUGCCGGUCCGUCGUCACGAUGUGCACUGGCCAGUCCUAUCUUGUUGUCGGGGACUAGCUCCUUGGAUUCACUUCCUGGGACUAGGAGCUGACGAGGUUACUUUGAGUAAAUUAGAGUGUUCAAAGCAAGCCUACGCUCUGAAUACAUUAGCAUGGAAUAACACGAUAGGACUCUGGCUUAUCUUGUUGGUCUGUGAGACCAGAGUAAUGAUUAAGAGGGACAGUCGGGGACAUUCGUAUUUCAUUGUCAGAGGUGAAAUUCUUGGAUUUAUGAAAGACGAACUUCUGCGAAAGCAUUUGUCAAGGAUGUCUUCAUUAA
rnacentral:rRNA from 1 species